GGGAGGUAGUGACAAUAAAUAACAAUACGGGGCUCAUUUGGGUCUCGUAAUUGGAAUGAGUACAAUUUAAAUCUCUUAACGAGGAACAAUUGGAGGGCAAGUCCGGUGCCAGCAGCCGCGGUAAUUCCAGCUCCAAUAGCGUAUAUUAAAGUUGUUGCAGUUAAAAAGCUCGUAGUUGAACUUCGGGGUCUACCCAUUGGUCAGGCUUAAUUGUCUGCACUGGUGAGAUGGAUCUCUACCUUCUGAGGAACUUUCAUGCCAUUUAUUUGGUGUGGUUGGAAAUCAGGACUGUUACUUUGAAAAAAUUAGAGUGUUUAAAGCAGGCUCACGCUUGAAUACAUUAGCAUGGAAUAAUGAAAUAGGACAUCCGAUUCUAUUUUGUUGGUUUCUAAGAUCGAUGUAAUGAUUAAUAGGGAUAGUUGGG
rnacentral:rRNA from 1 species